rnacentral:tRNA from 1 species
AUUUAAGUAGUUUAUUUAAAAUAAAAAUUUGUGGUGUUUUAGAAAUUAAUUUAUUAAUCUUAAGUU